rnacentral:rRNA from 1 species
UACGGAAGGCAGCAGUGGGGAAUAUUGCACAAUGGGCGCAAGCCUGAUGCAGCCAUGCCGCGUGUAUGAAGAAGGCCUUCGGGUUGUAAAGUACUUUCAGUCGUGAGGAAGGUGUUAAGGUUAAUAACCUUAGCAAUUGACGUUAGCGACAGAAGAAGCACCGGCUAACUCCGUGCCAGCAGCCGCGGUAAUACGGAGGGUGCGAGCGUUAAUCGGAAUUACUGGGCGUAAAGGGCACGCAGGCGGUUAAUUAAGUUGGAUGUGAAAUCCCCGGGCUUAACCUGGGAAUGGCAUUCAAGACUGGUUAGCUAGAGUCUUGUAGAGGGGGUAGAAUUCCAUGUGUAGCGGUGAAAUGCGUAGAGAUGUGGAGGAAUACCGGUGGCGAAGGCGGCCCCCUGGACAAAGACUGACGCUCAUGUCGAACGAC